rnacentral:rRNA from 1 species
GAUGAACGCUGGCGGCGUGCUUAACACAUGCAAGUCGAACGGUGAAGCAGGAGCUUGCUCCUGUGGAUCAGUGGCGAACGGGUGAGUAACACGUGAGUAACCUGCCCCAGACUCUGGGAUAAGCACUGGAAACGGUGUCUAAUACCGGAUACGAGCUUCAGCCGCAUGGCUAGAAGCUGGAAAGAAUUUCGGUCUGGGAUGGACUCGCGGCCUAUCAGGUAGUUGGUGAGGUAACGGCCCACCAAGCCUACGACGGGUAGCCGGCCUGAGAGGGUGACCGGCCACACUGGGACUGAGACACGGCCCAGACUCCUACGGGAGGCAGCAGUGGGGAAUAUUGCACAAUGGGCGCAAGCCUGAUGCAGCAACGCCGCGUGAGGGACGACGGCCUCGG